AGUGAACGCUGGCGGCAUGCCUUACACAUGCAAGUCGAACGGUAGAGGGCUUCGGCCCUUGAGAGUGGCGAACGGGUGAGUAGAGCAUCGGAACGUACCCUGUCGAGGGGGAUAACGUAGCGAAAGUUACGCUAAUACCGCAUGAGACCUUAGGGUGAAAGUGGGGGACUGGAAACGGCCUCACGCGAUGGGAGCGGCCGAUGUCGGAUUAGCUAGUUGGUGGGGUAAAGGCCUACCAAGGCGACGAUCCGUAGCGGGUCUGAGAGGAUGAUCCGCCACACUGGGACUGAGACACGGCCCAGACUCCUACGGGAGGCAGCAGUGGGGAAUUUUGGACAAUGGGCGCAAGCCUGAUCCAGCCAUGCCGCGUGGGUGAAGAAGGCCUUCGGGUUGUAAAGCCCUUUCGGCCGGGAAGAAAUCGUGCGGGCGAACAGUCUGCAUGGAUGACGGUACCGGAAGAAGAAGCACCGGCUAACUACGUGCCAGCAGCCGCGGUAAUACGUAGGGUGCGAGCGUUAAUCGGAAUUAUUGGGCGUAAAGCGUGCGCAGGCGGCGCCAUA
rnacentral:rRNA from 1 species